AUUGAACGCUGGCGGCAUGCCUUACACAUGCAAGUCGAACGGCAGCACGGGAGUAAUCCUGGUGGCGAGUGGCGAACGGGUGAGUAAUAUAUCGGAACGUGCCCAGUCGUGGGGGAUAACGCAGCGAAAGCUGUGCUACUACCGCAUACGAUCUACGGAUGAAAGCGGGGGAUCGCAAGACCUCGCGCGAUUGGAGCGGCCGUUAUCGGAUUAGCUAGUUGGUGGGGUAAAGGCCCACCAAGGCGACGAUCUGUAGCUGGUCUGAGAGGACGACCAGCCACACUGGAACUGAGACACGGUCCAGACUCCUACGGGAGGCAGCAGUGGGGAAUUUUGGACAAUGGGCGCAAGCCUGAUCCAGCAAUGCCGCGUGCAGGAUGAAGGCCUUCGGGUUGUAAACUGCUUUUGUACGGAACGAAACGGCCCUUUCUAAUACAGGGGGCUAAUGACGGUACCGUAAGAAUAAGCACCGGCUAACUACGUGCCAGCCGCCGCCGUAAUAC
rnacentral:rRNA from 1 species